rnacentral:rRNA from 1 species
AUCGGCCGAUCCCCUUGAGUUGAUCUGGCUCAGGACGAACGCUGGCGGCGUGCUUAACACAUGCAAGUCACGGGGGCCCGCAAGGGCAACCGGCGAACGGGUGCGUAACACGUGAGCAACCUGCCGAUCUGAGGGGGAUAGCCGGCCCAACGGCCGGGUAAUACCGCAUACGUUCUCGAAGAGGAGUCUCUUUGAGAAGAAACCUCCGGGGCAGAUCGAGGGGCUCGCGGCCUAUCAGCUAGUUGGCGGUGUAAUGGACCACCAAGGCUAUGACGGGUAGCUGGUCUGAGAGGAUGGCCAGCCACAUUGGGACUGAGAGACGGCCCAGACUCCUACGGGAGGCAGCAGUGGGGAAUCUUGCGCAAUGGCCGAAAGGCUGACGCAGCGACGCCGCGUGUGGGAUGAAGCAUUUCGGUGUGUAAACCACUGUUGCCCGGGACGAACAUCCUCUUUCGAGAGGACUGACGGUACCGGGUGAGGAAGCACCGGCUAACUCCGUGCCAGCAGCCGCGGUAAUACGGAGGGUGCGAGCGUUGUCCGGAAUCACUGGGCGUAAAGGGCGCGUAGGUGGCCUGUGGAAGUCUGCGGUGAAAGCCCGGCGCUCAACGCCGGGUCGGCCGUGGAUACUCUCGGGCUCGAGCUUACUAGAGGCAGAUGGAAUUCCGGGUGUAGCGGUGGAAUGCGUAGAGAUCCGGAAGACACCGGUGGCGAAGGCGGUCUGCUGGGGUAAUGCUGACACUGAUGCGCGACAGCGUG